rnacentral:lncRNA from 1 species
GUUUGAGCUUCUACUCCAUUGGAGUCUCCGCACUAGAAAGAUUUGAAGGACGGAGCACAGAGCACCAUUGAAUGGGUUUACAAUCAGAUGGGAAAACAGGCUUAAGGAAGGAUAAGUAACUUGUUCAAGUACUGGCUCCUGAGCUCAGAGAAGAUAAGGAGAGGAUCAUGCUGGCGUGAGCACUGACCACAGAGGGAACGAGAGACCCAAGAAAUACCCUUUCCCUGUGGUGACAGGAUGGAAACUGCCAAUCUCUCUGCAGGCGCCCCUCUGGCUGGUAGGAGGCACCAGAACACACUGCAUGCUCCAGUGUGUGAUAUGCUGCUGUUUCUUAAAAGCCUGUGUGAGAGGUCAGUGCCACCAAGUGGCUGAAAGAAACUGAUGUAUAAAGGCUUCCUGGGAGUGAAAUGGUUCUUUCAGAAUGGCUUUUGGAUGAUACAUAUAUCUCUGAUGACAUAGAGAAACAUGCACUGCCUCAGUUGGGAUUAGAGGAUCUGAGCAGUGGCUGGCCACUCCAAUCACCAUGCUGUGCUGCCUUCUUCCAAGCCCCAUCUCACCAGAUCAUAUGGUCACAGCAGAAGGCCAACCACAAUGUUGACCUACGAGUGCAAGGCAUGUGUAAUGGGAUCAAGCAAGGUUCUCUGAGAUGCUGAAAUGAGAUACAGAAUACAAUGAUUAUAUUCAGGUUUGGGCAAUUGUGAAUAUCACUGCUGUAAACAUUCAUGCACAGGUUUUUAUGUGAACAUAAGUUUUCAUUUCUCUGUGGAAGACAAAUAGGAACAGGAUUCCUAGUUCAUAUGAAAGGCAAACCACAAAAGACAAAAAGAGAAAGAAGGACCUCCAGAGUGGGAGAAUAACUCCUCGCCUGUCAGGUAGGUUACACUCACUGUGUGCAUCCCUGAUAUAAAAUGGUGAAACAUUUGCAUAACCCAUCCUCCCAUGUACUUUACAUCAUCUCUAGAUUUACUU